rnacentral:rRNA from 1 species
UGCGACACAACCAAGUAUAGGAGGUCCAGCCUGCCCAGUGACUACAAGUUCAACGGCCGCGGUAUUUUGACCGUGCAAAGGUAGCGCAAUCACUUGUCUUUUAAAUAGAGACCUGUAUGAAUGGCUAAACGAGGGCUUAACUGUCUCCCCUUUCCAGUCAGUGAAAUUGAUCUACCCGUGCAGAAGCGGGUAUAAUAAUACAAGACGAGAAGACCCUUUGGAGCUUAAGGUACAAAACUCAACCACGUUAAGCAACUCAAUAAAAAGUGAAAACUUUGUGGAACAUGAGAUUUUACCUUCGGUUGGGGCGACCACGGAGGAAAAAAGAGCCUCCAGGUGGAACGGGAGAAUUUCCUAAAACUAAGAGAGACAUCUCUAAGCCACAGAACAUCUGACCAAAUAUGAUCCGGCUAAUACAAGCCGAUCAACGAACCAAGUUACCCUAGGGAUAACAGCGCAAUCCUCUCCCAGAGUCCAUAUCGACGAGGGGGUUUACGACCUCGAUGUUGGAUCAGGACAUCCUAAUGGUGCAGCCGCUAUUAAGGGUUCGUUUGUUCAACG